GGGAGGGAGCCAUUUCCUUCUUCCGGGGACGAAGAGGGGGCCUUUGCAGCCCCGGAAGUGAUUGGACGGUCGGAAGCAACCAAUUGCUGACCUCAGAAGGAUUUCGGCCUUUUAAUAAAGGUUGCACAUUGAUAUUUGAAAGCUACAAGAAACUCCUGAAAAGAAAGAACAGACGACAUACCGAGGAACGGCAGAACUGCCAGUCUGUUCAACUUCAUGGGACUGGCUUGGCAGAAGUAGCAAAGAAACAGGCCCAAACUGAGUCAAAGGCAACCAAGUAGAAGAGGAAGGAGAUGGAAGAGCCGACUCAGCAGG